rnacentral:rRNA from 1 species
UGGGGAAUCUUCCGCAAUGGACGAAAGUCUGACGGAGCAACGCCGCGUGUAUGAUGAAGGUCUUCGGAUUGUAAAGUACUGUCAUUGGGGAAGAACGGUUUUCUUGAAAAGAUUGAGAAGACAUGACGGUACCCAAGGAGGAAGCCCCGGCUAACUACGUGCCAGCAGCCGCGGUAAUACGUAGGGGGCAAGCGUUGUCCGGAAUUAUUGGGCGUAAAGGGCGCGUAGGCGGGCCUUUAAGUCCGGUGUGAAAGAUCAGGGCUCAACCCUGAGAGUGCAUCGGAAACUGGAGGCCUUGAGGACAGGAGAGGAAAGUGGAAUUCCACGUGUAGCGGUGAAACGCGUAGAUAUGUGGAGGAACACCAGUGGCGAAGGCGACUUUCUGGACUGUAACUGACGCUGAGGCGCGAAAGCGUGGGGAGCAAACA